rnacentral:rRNA from 1 species
GGUUAAGCGACUAAGCGUACACGGUGGAUGCCCUGGCAGUCAGAGGCGAUGAAGGACGUGCUAAUCUGCGAAAAGCGCCGGCGAGGUGAUAUGAACCUUUGACCCGGCGAUGUCCGAAUGGGGAAACCCAGUGCAAUCCGUUGCACUAUCGUUAACUGAAUACAUAGGUUAACGAGGCGAACCGGGGGAACUGAAACAUCUAAGUACCCCGAGGAAAAGAAAUCAACCGAGAUUCCCCCAGUAGCGGCGAGCGAACGGGGAGCAGCCCGGAGUCUGAAUCAGCUUGUGUGUUAGUGGAACGGUCUGGAAAGUCCGACGGUACAGGGUGAUAGUCCCGUACACGAAAAUGCACAUGCUGUGAACUCGAAGAGUAGGGCGGGACACGUGGUAUCCUGUCUGAAUAUGGGGGGACCAUCCUCCAAGGCUAAAUACUCCUGACUGACCGAUAGUGAACCAGUACCGUGAGGGAAAGGCGAAAAGAACCCCGGCGAGGGGAGUGAAAAAGAACCUGAAACCGUGUACGUACAAGCAGUGGGAGCCUCUUUAUGGGGUGACUGCGUACCUUUUGUAUAAUGGGUCAGCGACUUAUAUUCUGUAGCAAGGUUAACCGUAUAGGGGAGCCGAAGGGAAACCGAGUCUUAACUGGGCGUUAAGUUGCAGGGUAUAGACCCGAAACCCGGUGAUCUAGCCAUGGGCAGGUUGAAGGUUGGGUAACACUAACUGGAGGACCGAACCGACUAAUGUUGAAAAAUUAGCGGAUGACCUGUGGCUGGGGGUGAAAGGCCAAUCAAACCGGGAGAUAGCUGGUUCUCCCCGAAAGCUAUUUAGGUAGCGCCUCGUGAACUCAUCUUCGGGGGUAGAGCACUGUUUCGGCUAGGGGGCCAUCCCGGCUUACCAACCCGAUGCAAACUACGAAUACCGAAGAAUGUUAUCACGGGAGACACACGGCGGGUGCUAACGUCCGUCGUGAAGAGGGAAACAACCCAGACCGCCAGCUAAGGUCCCAAAGUCAUGGUUAAGUGGGAAACGAUGUGGGAAGGCACAGACAGCCAGGAUGUUGGCUUAGAAGCAGCCAUCAUUUAAAGAAAGCGUAAUAGCUCACUGGUCGAGUCGGCCUGCGCGGAAGAUGUAACGGGGCUAAACCAUGCACCGAAGCUGCGGCAGCGACGCUUAUGCGUUGUUGGGUAGGGGAGCGUUCUGUAAGCCGUUGAAGGUGUGCUGUGAGGCAUGCUGGAGGUAUCAGAAGUGCGAAUGCUGACAUAAGUAACGAUAAAGCGGGUGAAAAGCCCGCUCGCCGGAAGACCAAGGGUUCCUGUCCAACGUUAAUCGGGGCAGGGUGAGUCGACCCCUAAGGCGAGGCCGAAAGGCGUAGUCGAUGGGAAACAGGUUAAUAUUCCUGUACUUGGUGUUACUGCGAAGGGGGGACGGAGAAGGCUAUGUCAGCCGGGCGACGGUUGUCCCGGUUUAAGCAUGUAGGCGGAGGUUCCAGGUAAAUCCGGUACCUUAUUAACGCUGAGGUGUGAUGACGAGGCACUACGGUGCUGAAGUGAUAAAUGCCCUGCUUCCAGGAAAAGCCUCUAAGCAUCAGGUAACACGAAAUCGUACCCCAAACCGACACAGGUGGUCAGGUAGAGAAUACCAAGGCGCUUGAGAGAACUCGGGUGAAGGAACUAGGCAAAAUGGUGCCGUAACUUCGGGAGAAGGCACGCUGAUGUGUAGGUGAAGCCCCUGCGGGUGGAGCUGAAAUCAGUCGAAGAUACCAGCUGGCUGCAACUGUUUAUUAAAAACACAGCACUGUGCAAACACGAAAGUGGACGUAUACGGUGUGACGCCUGCCCGGUGCCGGAAGGUUAAUUGAUGGGGUUAGCGGCAACGCGAAGCUCUUGAUCGAAGCCCCGGUAAACGGCGGCCGUAACUAUAACGGUCCUAAGGUAGCGAAAUUCCUUGUCGGGUAAGUUCCGACCUGCACGAAUGGCGUAAUGAUGGCCAGGCUGUCUCCACCCGAGACUCAGUGAAAUUGAACUCGCUGUGAAGAUGCAGUGUACCCGCGGCAAGACGGAAAGACCCCGUGAACCUUUACUAUAGCUUGACACUGAACACUGGUCCUUGAUGUGUAGGAUAGGUGGGAGGCUUUGAAGCGUGGACGCCAGUCUGCGUGGAGCCAACCUUGAAAUACCACCCUUUAAUGGCUGGUGUUCUAACGUAGACCCGUAAUCCGGGUUGCGGACAGUGUCUGGUGGGUAGUUUGACUGGGGCGGUCUCCUCCCAAAGAGUAACGGAGGAGCACGAAGGUUGGCUAAUCCUGGUCGGACAUCAGGAGGUUAGUGCAAUGGCAUAAGCCAGCUUGACUGCGAGCGUGACGGCGCGAGCAGGUGCGAAAGCAGGUCAUAGUGAUCCGGUGGUUCUGAAUGGAAGGGCCAUCGCUCAACGGAUAAAAGGUACUCCGGGGAUAACAGGCUGAUACCGCCCAAGAGUUCAUAUCGACGGCGGUGUUUGGCACCUCGAUGUCGGCUCAUCACAUCCUGGGGCUGAAGUAGGUCCCAAGGGUAUGGCUGUUCGCCAUUUAAAGUGGUACGCGAGCUGGGUUUAGAACGUCGUGAGACAGUUCGGUCCCUAUCUGCCGUGGGCGCUGGAGAAUUGAGGGGGGCUGCUCCUAGUACGAGAGGACCGGAGUGGACGCAUCACUGGUGUUCGGGUUGUCAUGCCAAUGGCACUGCCCGGUAGCUAAAUGCGGAAGAGAUAAGUGCUGAAAGCAUCUAAGCACGAAACUUGCCCCGAGAUGAGUUCUCCCUGAGACUUUAAGUCUCCUGAAGGAACGUUGAAGACGACGACGUUGAUAGGUCGGGUGUGUAAGCGCAGCGAUGCGUUGAGCUAACCGAUACUAAUGAACCGUGAGGCUUAACCUU